rnacentral:rRNA from 1 species
UACGUAGGGGGCUAGCGUUGUCCGGAAUCAUUGGGCGUAAAGAGCGUGUAGGCGGUUUGGUAAGUCCGCUGUGAAAGUCCAGGGCUCAACCCUGGAAAGCCAGUGGAAACUGUCAAGCUAGAGUCCGGAAGAGGCGAGUGGAACUCCUGGUGUAGCGGUGAAAUGCGCAGAUAUCAGGAAGAACACCAAUGGCGAAGGCAGCUCGCUGGGACGGUACUGACGCUGAGACGCGAAAGCGUGGGGAGCAAACAGG